rnacentral:rRNA from 1 species
UGGGGAAUAUUGCACAAUUGGCGCAAGCCUGAUGCAGCCAUGCCGCGUGUAUGAAGAAGGCCUUCGGGUUGUAAAGUACUUUCAGCGGGGAGGAAGGGAGUAAAGUUAAUACCUUUGCUCAUUUACGUUACCCGCAGAAGAAGCACCGGCUAACUCCGUGCCAGCAGCCGCGGUAAUACGGAGGGUGCAAGCGUUAAUCGGAAUUACUGGGCGUAAAGCGCAUGCAGGCGGUUUGUUAAGUCAGAUGUGAAAUCCCCGGGCUCAACCUGGGAACUGCAUCUGAUACUGGCAAGCUUGAGUCUCGUAGAGGGGGGUAGAAUUCCAGGUGUAGCGGUGAAAUGCGUAGAGAUCAGGAAGAAUACCGGUGGCGAAGGCGGCCCCCUGGGCGAAGACUGACGCUCAGGUGCGAAAGCGUGGGGAGCAAACAGG